ACGGUGGGUGGCGGCUCCUCACGGGGGGGCCGGGGGCUCAGACACCCAGUUCCAGGCGCCAGGCCCAGCCCCGGGAGCAGCCCCGGGCCCGUGGGAGCCGGGCUGGGGGCAGCCGCAGGGCAGAGGCAGCGCGGAGUGAAAGGGGCGGGGCGGGGCGGAGCUGAGCUGCCUGGGAGCCCCACAAGCGGCAGCCUGGGGCCGCGGGGCCGGGCGAUGUCCCAUCCCGCGUGCGCAGGGACCGAGGGGCAGAAUCAGUCUGUGAAUUGUCGGUAGUUUAGGGGCUGCAGCCUCUUCACACACAGUCACUUUGUGAACUUCAGAGCAGCCCAGGAUCUAGCGAGGCCCCGCCCCGCUCACACCUUCCCCCUUCCUCCGUCACUCGCUCUCCCCGACCCUCGCUCACUUUCACCAGGUGGGAGGGGUGCAGGCUCUGGGCUGGAUUAACAUGGGGGCAAAUAAAAUCAGGACUUGUCCCUGUGGGGAGGGGGUUUCAGUUGUUCCUAAAGGUAGGGGGAGCUCUCAGUCUCUGUCUGAUUGUCUGUCUCUCUCUCUAUUGGGGUUGAGUUUCCUGGGUGAGAUGCUGCUGAUUCGGAAAGAGAUUAGACAUUUAUAUAGACAAUAUCAUCCAAACUUUGCUGAUCACUUCUUCAGAUAAAGAAUAUUUCUUCUCCCAACCCGCCCUGCCUCAUACCUACAGUACCCCGCAGCAACAAGAGAGUUCAGUGACAUGAAAAGUUAUCCCAGCCGGGGCCCCGCCGAAAAUGUUCGAAUUGGGCCCAGCACUUCCUAAAGCCGGCUCUGGCUGCCAGUUCAGCUCACAAGCUCCAGAAAUCCCAACAAGAACAGGCUGGCUGCCUCCUGUAGGCAAGACUUGAAAGCCAGAUGCCUAGUGUGAUGGAAACAAAUAGAAGGUGCAGAAGCUGACAGAAUGGAACAUGACAACAGCGAAGACGACGACCGCGGAGACACCUCCGAAGAAAUGCCCUAGAGCCCUUGGGCUAUCACGCUUCAGGAAUGUGCGUGAGGUACUAGGAGACCUGGAAAUGGGGGGUGUCCUGCUGGCCGUAGCCACUUUCGAUCUCCUGGCUUCUACCCCCCUACCCUGCUGGCAGGGCCAUUGUGCAGCACCCUUUCCAGCCUAUCUGGGUGCAGGAGAUGGAGGAAGAGAGCAUCUGCCAUCCAGCUCCAUCCCAUCUAGAGCAAUUCCAGGAUGGAGCGGUUGAAGCGGAUGCUGAGGAGGAAGGCUGGGCAGGUGGCUCUGGAGCCAGUAGGGAGCAGCGUCCAUCUUGCCCAGGAGGAGAGUGGCCCCUCUGUCCCCGCAGGCGGGGAAGAGGCCAGUGGGCAGGCAAAGUGGAGAAGCUCCCUGACCUUCUGAAGGAAGAGAAAAACACCAGCUCCCUUAGCAGGCCCUGAGGCACCUUCUGGUCCCAAAUGGAGGUGGCCUCGGAUGAUGCUAUGUAGGAGGGACCCAGGAGAGGGUGGGAGCCGGGCAAGGUGGCUCUGCGGCUUCCUUUCCAGGAAGCAGAGGAGCCAGAAGCCCAGCCCCAGGGCCCAGCAGGAGCCAUCCACCAGCCUGGCCACUGAGGAGCCCUCAGCCAGCCCAGAGCAGGAGCUGGGCAGCUCUGGCACGGGGACCAGCAGCUCCUCUGUGCGGUCUGACAGCCCUGAGGCUGAUGGCUCCCUCUGUGCAGAGACCCCCAGUGCCCAGCAGGAGUGGGCUGAGGAGGAGGAGGAGGAGCAUGUGUCCCCUGAACAAGACACCAUCAGGGUCAUCCAGGAGCACCUCCAGGGCAGAGUUAAAUUGGUGGCCAAACAGCUCCGCUUCCUCCAUACAGUCCCACGUUUGUGCUUUUCGGCACAGCAGCAGGGGCUGAACACUCUGGAGCCCCACUUCUCCAAAGCGGCCCUCGUGGAGAGCAUUGCGGAGCUGAUUGAAAAUCUGCCCGUGGUGCCAGAGCCAGCCUCCAUCAUCUCCAGCUCCAUGGCCACAUUUGAAGCCUCAGGUACCAGGACCGUCCCAUCUAGCUGCCCUAACCCUGGUGCUGAUCGGGUCUGGAGCCGGGAGUCCCAGAUCUUCUCUGGCCUAGAUUACCCCCAGCUGUGGCUGUUCACAUCCCCCCGCAGAGGAGGCGGGAAUGUUCCCCCUUUCCUGGCUGGGGGGUGAUUCACUCAACAAACUGAAGCCGCUGCUUGCCCUGGAGCUGGAAUCACGCCUCCUGCGGGCUCUUCUUUACACCAUCUUCACCAUAGGCACUGGGCAGGAUACCACCCACUUCCAGGCUCUGCACAAUACCUAUUUACAGAGCCUGGACGCCAUGCUCACUGAGACCCCCACUCCAGACAAGCUGCAGCACGUCUUAGAGGAGACUGUUAGCCAGUGAGUGGCCCAUCGAACGGACACUUAAUUCACAACGGACCAUGGGAGGCGCCCAUCUACACUGAACGGACUUUUCUGUGAACGUUCCAUCUGACGUAUCCUGCAAAGUAUCCAUCCUGCAAUGACUGAGCAAAAUCAGGCAUGGACGGGGACUUGCCCAUGUAACUCCAAGCUCCCAUCUUUCAGCUGUGAUUUUCCACUAGCUGUGCUGAGGACUUUGAAACAAUGGGUUUCCCUCCACAUGAGGGAAGUUAAAAGAGGCCCUGGAAACAUCUCCACUGUGCCUCUAUCCUGCUCCAGCCCCUGGACUAUGGACUUAUACUAAUGGGAGCAUCGAACCAAGGAAGAGGAACUUCCAGUGAUUUGGAAACACCCAAAGACUUAUCAAACCAGCAGUUUAUUCCAUCACUGCUAUAAGCCUGAACCAAGAACUUUGCAAUUAUUGUAUUUGAUUCCUUUAACCAAUUUUAAUUCUCACCUUUCUUUCUUUCUUUUUAUAAAUAAACCUUUAGCAUUUAGAUACUGAA